AUGGCCCACGUCGUCCUCAGGUUGGUCCACAUCCGGCGCAUGCCUAGUCAUGCAUGGCCUCGGAUCCUGCGGCGGGCUGGUCUCCCCAGAAGAGAGGCUGACCUAGAAAGUUUCCCAGUGCUCCACUUGCAUGGCAUGGUCUUCCACAUCGUACUGCAUCAACAGGAGUUCCUGAUCCUCCCCAGUCCCAAAGCUUGCCGAAUCUUUGUCGGUCAUGUCCUGCAGGGGGGAGGGGGAUUUGAACCAAUCCAAUCCGCACGGAUCCCCCCACAUGCAACCCACCAUUGGCCACCAGGGCCAAGGUUCUGGCCCCAAUCACCUGCAAAGCUGCAGCUUCCUCCUCCUCCGUUUGUUGCCACCUAG
rnacentral:rRNA from 1 species